GGGCCCGCACAAGCGGUGGAGCAUGUGGUUUAAUUCGAUGAUACGCGAGGAACCUUACCAGGGCUUAAAUGUAACGGGACAGAUCUAGAGAUAGAUCCUUCUUCGGACUCAUUACAAGGUGCUGCAUGGUUGUCGUCAGCUCGUGCCGUGAGGUGUCAGGUUAAGUCCUAUAACGAGCGCAACCCCCCAUCGUUAGUUGCCAACGAGUAAUGUCGGGAACUCUAGCGAAACUGCCGGUGCAAACCGUGAGGAAGGUGGGAUGACGUCAAUCAUCACGGCCCUUACGGUUCUGGGCUACACACGUGCUACAAUGGCCGGUACAGAAAGCAGCCACUAUGCGAAUAGGAGCUAAUCUUUAAAACCGGUCUC
rnacentral:rRNA from 1 species